rnacentral:rRNA from 1 species
GACGAACCGCCCGAACGUUAUUCGGAAUCACUGGGCUUAAAGGGAGCGUAGGCGGGCUGCCAAGUCCGGGGUGAAAUCCUCCAGCUUAACUGGAGAACUGCCUCGGAUACUGGAAGUCUCGAGGAGGGUAGGGGCAAGUGGAACCGUGGGUGGAGCGGUGAAAUGCGUUGAUAUCCAUGGGAACUCCGGUGGCGAAGGCGACUUGCUGGACCCUUUCUGACGCUGAGGCUCGAAAGCCAGGGGAGCAAACAGG